AUGGCGUCGUCCAACAAGGCCUGCGCCGCCGCCCUCCUCCUGCUACUGGCCCUCGUCGCGGCCACGGCGGCCGACGCGGCAAAGAGCAUCGCGUCGGAGCCCACCGUCACCCCGUGGACGGCGGAGGUGGACGAGUCGGCGACGUGCAUGGGGUCGCUGCUGGCGCUGAGCCCGUGCCUGCCCUUCUUCAGGGACGCGGGCACGUCCAAGGCGCCGGCGGGGUGCUGCGAGGGCCUGGGCGACAUCGUCCAAGACCAGCCGGCGUGCCUGUGCCACAUCUUCAACCACACCCUGGAGCGGGCCAUCGGCGUCGACAUCCCCGUCGACCGCGCGCUCGGCCUCCUCAGCAACGUCUGCGGCCGCACCCCGCCGGAGGACCUCAUGACCAGUUGCGGCGACGGCGUCCCCGUGCCGCCGCUUUACAUGUGCCCGGCGCCCUCGGCCUGA
rnacentral:rRNA from 1 species